AUUGAACGCUGGCGGCAUGCUUUACACAUGCAAGUCGAACGGUAACAGGCCGCAAGGUGCUGACGAGUGGCGAACGGGUGAGUAAUGCAUCGGAACGUGCCCAGUCGUGGGGGAUAACUGCCCGAAAGAGCAGCUAAUACCGCAUACGAUCUAUGGAUGAAAUCGGGGGACCGUAAGGCCUCGCGCGCUUGGAUCGGCCGAGGUCAGGUUAGUUAGUUGGUGGGGUAAAGGCUCACCAAGCCAACGAUCCGUAGUUGGUAUGAGAGGACGACUGGCGACACUGGAACUGAGACACGGCCCGGACUCCUACGGGAGGCAGCAGUGGGGAAUGUUAGACAAUGGGGGCAACCCUGAUCCAGCAAUGCCGCGUGCAGGAAAAAGGCCUUCGGUUUGUAAACUGCUUUUGUACUGAACGAAACGGUCUGGGUUAAUACCCUGGGCUAAUGACGGUACCGUAAGAAUAAGCACCGGCUAACUACGUGCCAGCCGCCGCCGUAAAAC
rnacentral:rRNA from 1 species